rnacentral:lncRNA from 1 species
AUCUGAUGAAUAACUAAAAACCUCCAAAUUCCAUCUCUCCUAGGGGUGCAGUUGCAUGCAUAAAUAUGAGAGCAAGAAAUGGUACCACUUACUUAGAAAAGCAUCUGUGUCGUAUCUAUAUGUAGUAUGAAGUGAAUUCUUGAAUCUCUCAACUUCCAAUCACAUGAGCAAGAUUUGUGGCUGCAGAGAUGUCAGGAACCUGGACAUCGAAAGGUGCUUCCCAAUCAUUUCCAUGGAAAUCAUCCACGAUCCCCCAUUCCUGUGUCACUGCAGCAGGAAAAUGCUUAGUGUUUCACCACUAAAGAGGAGCAGGAAUUUUCCUGGCUACGGCUUAAUGGUACACCAAGAAAGGGAGCUGUGUGGAUCAGACACAGGCAAUAUCUUACACAGAGGUAAGAGAAAAACUGAAGCUCUCCUGCAUAAAUGGCUCUCCCUUGCCCUUUCCCAUCAAGAGCAUCUACACAGAGGAAGGCAUAAACAAGUCAUUGCACUGAGCUGGACAUCUAGCUCCCUGCGAAAACAAUGAAGGCCCUCUCAGUAGUAGCAGCAGCAAAAGAAGCUACU